rnacentral:rRNA from 1 species
GUCUGGUGCCAGCAGCCGCGGUAAUUCCAGCUCCAAUAGCGUAUAUUAAAGUUGUUGCAGUUAAAAAGCUCGUAGUUGAAUUUUAGGCCUGGCCGGGCGGUCCGUCUUUGGCGAGUACUGUCUGCGUCGGGUCCACCUUCUGGUGAACCAGUAUGUCCUUUAUUGGGUGUGCCGGGGAGCCAGGACCAUUACCUUGAAAAAAUUAGAGUGUUUAAAGCAGGCAUUUGCUUGAAUAGAUUAGCAUGGAAUAAUAGAAUAGGACGUUGUGGUUCUAUUUUGUUGGUUUCUAGGACCGACGUAAUGAUUAAUAGGGAUAGUUGGGGGCAUUAGUAUUCAAUUGUCAGAGGUGAAAUUCUUGGAUUUAUUGAAGACUAACUACUGCGAAAGCAUUUGCCAAGGAUGUUUUCAUUAAUCAAGAACGAAAGUUAGGGGAUCGAAGACGAUCAGAUACCGUCGUAGUCUUAACCAUAAACUAUGCCGACUAGGGAUCGGACGAUGUAAUUUUAAACC